ACCGUGAAUAACUCUCUCAUCUUAACGAAUUUGGACAAUCUAUAAAUUGGGACUUGUAGAGGAAAUACAAGACUACAAGAUCCAACAAUCAUAACCUCUAAACAAACAUCAGAUCUGGAAUAAAUCUGCCAUCAAAGUAGCUACCAAAGCUGUUCUUCACGAAGAACAGUUCGAGGUGCCUACUUUGGACCUCUAUAACUUGAUGAUCGUGUAACGUUUUUGUGAUCUAUCAAUUUCAGUGUGUAGACAACAUGUGGGACUACAACUCUAACACUUAAAAUCAUCAUAAAAAUAAUAAAUCAAGCAUUUAAAGUAUGGUCAAACCUUGUCAGAAAAAUUAACACUUAAAAAAUUCUGGGCUGCCCAAAAUUUUCCGGUCAAUGCCGGUCAACCCAGUUUGACCUUAAAUAACUCUUAAUCCAUAAUAUAUAUGGACCUGAUUCUUUUUGGAGGUUAAAUACCACAUAACAAGCUACACAUAUCAACCUUUAGAACACAAAACACAUUAAAGAUGACCGAGAUAUAAGGCCUGACAUUUGCCAAAAAA
rnacentral:lncRNA from 1 species